GACCUGGUGGUGCAUGGUGCACACCCAUUCCACUUAAGAAGUUCGGGUCUACAAGUGGGAGGUCCUCGUUCGAACCGAGGUCAGGUCA